UCAGAGAGUGUUUACUCGGUGGCCCAGAAAUCCAGGGAAGUCGUUGUCGUUUAAUUUUUGCAGGCUCUCAAGUGCUUCCCCCCGGGCGGGUGGGAGUGCAGAGAGGAAAGUGCGAGAUGAGCACCAUGUUCGCAGACACACUGCUCAUCGUUUUUAUCUCCGUGUGCACGGCUCUUCUUGCUGAGGGUAUAACCUGGGUCUUGGUUUACAGGCCAGACAAGUACAAGAGACUGAAAGCGGAGGUGGAAAAACAGAGUAAAAAACUGGAAAAGAAGAAGGAAACAAUAACAGAGUCAGCUGGUCAACAACAAAAAAAGAAAAUAGAGAGGCAAGAAGAGAAACUGAAAAAUAACAACAGAGACCUAUCCAUGGUCCGAAUGAAAUCCAUGUUUGCAAUUGGCUUUUGUUUUACUGCCCUAAUGGGAAUGUUCAAUUCCAUAUUUGAUGAUAGAGUGGUGGCAAAGCUCCCUUUCACCCCCUUUCCUAUAUCCAAGGACUGUCUCAUCAAAACCUGCUAGGGGAUGACACCACAGACUGUUCCUUCAUUUUUCUGUAUAUUCUCUGUACCAUGUCAAUUCGACAGAACAUCCAGAAGAUUCUUGGUCUUGCCCCUUCACGAGCUGCCACCAAGCAGGCAGGUGGAUUUCUUGGUCCUCCACCUCCUUCUGGGAAGUUCUCUUGAAAUCAAGAAGCCCCCUGUAAUUCCUGUCAUUCUUUUUAAACAUUCAAAUUAGACUGGCAACUAUUUUGUAGCAAGAGCCAUAGACAGCCUUAGCACUUGGGCCACUUUCUAGUUCUGAGUUAUUUGUAGACUUUUUGGAUAUGAUUCAAAUGAGAAUGGCACCCAGCAAACAUGAUAGUACUUUCAGUCACAGAUUAAUUUUUAGAAAAAUAAGUUUGUUGGUUAGAUAAGUUCAGGCAAUGUUUAUGUAAUGAGAAGCAAAUAGCAUCUUUCUUGUUUGGCUUACAUGGAUAUUUUCUGUGGGCCAGACUCUCAAGUCUGUGCUGUGUGCCAUGUACCAUGGAAGUUGGCUCUCCAUGAGCAUUUAGAGAUCUGGAAGAAAAAUUUA